rnacentral:rRNA from 1 species
GACAGAGGGGGCAAGCGUUGCUCGGAAUUACUGGGCGUAAAGGGCGCGUAGGCGGAAUGGCAAGUCGGUCGUGAAAUCCUUCGGCUCAACCGAAGAACGUCGAUCGAAACUGCCGUUCUUGAGGAUUGCAGAGGAGACUGGAAUUCCCGGUGUAGCGGUGAAAUGUGUAGAGAUCGGGAGGAACACCGGUGGCGAAGGCGGGUCUCUGGACCUGUCCUGACGCUGAGGCGCGAAAGCUAGGGGAGCGAACAGG